GAUGAAGAACGUAGUAAAAUGCGAUAAGUAAUGUGAAUUGCAGAAUUCAGUGAAUCAUCGAAUCUUUGAACGCACAUUGCGCCCGCCAGUAUUCUGGCGGGCAUGCCUGUUCGAGCGUCAUUUCAACCCUCAAGCACAGCUUGGUGUUGGGACUCGCGUUAAUUCGCGUUCCUCAAAUUGAUUGGCGGUCACGUCGAGCUUCCAUAGCGUAGUAGUAAAACCCUCGUUACUGGUAAUCGUCGCGGCCACGCCGUUAAACCCCAACUUCUAAAUGUUGACCUCGGAUCAGGUAGGAAUACCCGCUGAACUUAAGCAUAUCAAUAAGCGGAGGA
rnacentral:misc_RNA from 1 species